rnacentral:rRNA from 1 species
GAUGAACGCUGACAGAAUGCUUAACACAUGCAAGUCAACUUGAACUUCGGUUUGGGUGGCGGACGGGUGAGUCACGCGUAAAGAACUUGCCUCGCAGCUAGGGACAACAUUUGGAAACGAAUGCUAAUACCUGAUAUUAUGAUUUUAGGGCAUCCUAGAAUUAUGAAAGCUAUAUGCGCUGUGAGAGAGCUUUGCGUCCCAUUAGCUAGUUGGAGAGGUAACGGCUCACCAAGGCGAUGAUGGGUAGCCGGCCUGAGAGGGUGAACGGCCACAAGGGGACUGAGACACGGCCCUUACUCCUACGGGAGGCAGCAGUGGGGAAUAUUGGACAAUGGACCAAGAGUCUGAUCCAGCAAUUCUGUGUGCACGAUGAAGUUUUUCGGAAUGUAAAGUGCUUUCAGUUGGGAAGAAAAAAAUGACGGUACCAACAGAAGAAGUGACGGCUAAAUACGUG